AGAAGCGGCUUUCUUGAUGCAUCUGCAGGAGUCCCACAGAAAUCAUGUGUCCAGUGCUCAGAGGGUGAAUUUGGGCUCAGUCACGAAGGCAGAUGCUCCGUGCAGAAUCCCCUCCUCCUCUCUGGCAGGUUAAUGAAGUCAGACUCUUCUGGAACUACAGGGAGGUGCCGGUGCUUCAUCUAAAGACUUGCAGCAAAGCCUGCCCACACAGCCUCACUGGAUAAUUUACACAAGAUCAUUUGCUGAUAGCAGAAAUGCUUAUAUUGCAUUUUUCCAGCAGGUAGAUACUUAACUGUUUAAAUCCCUUCAAAACAAACCCCAAGCCUACAGUUUUAUCUGAGCUUAAAUAUGUUUAAUUGGAAAUUAAAAAGGCAGCAGUGCUUUUUCUUGCUUGAGAAUUUUGAGAAAGCAAAGAAUGCUGAUGGUAAGUCUGAGCAAUAUUGGUAGAACCAAGAUGGAAAUGUAAACCUAUGGUGAGUUCUUACAUUUAGAAAGCCUUCUUAAAAGACAGAUAUAUUCUUAAGCCAACAAAGAAUAAAUAUCCUUUCAAAUGAAGCAAAUAUAUACUUUUUUUUUUAAGCUUUUAUGCAAAGAAAAUGAAGGUUGGCUUAUGCAAGUACAGAAAAUAUUCAGCAUGUGCUGGUUACAUUUAUUUUUAUUUUUAUUUACCCUUACUUCACAAACAUGUAAAUAUGAAAUAGUUUGCUUAGCAGACCAAGUGUUGAGUGCUAACCUGUUCUACCUGUUCAAACUGCAUAUCCUAAAAUAUGGGGUAUUUUCUAGUUGUUCUGGUGCUCAUAGCAAAGGGAUUUUGCCCAGAGCAGAAAAGAUUGGUUUCAUUUCAAAUUUUGUCGACUCUUUAUCAGUCUGCAGCCAAUACAGUUUAGAAAACAGUACCUUCACUUUCAGACCUUUAUAUUAAAAGGGAAAGGCAUUUCCCCUUGCCACCUUGUUUUAUUUCCAUCCAUGCUUCAAACAAACAAGAAGAGAUGGCAGAAAAAAUAAAUUACAGAAAGAAUUCACACGUACUGUAGAAGCAGCAGGAAACAGCUGAAGAAAGAAAGUGCAAAAUCAAUUUAGUAAAUAAGAUGUGGCAUUUUGCAUAAAAUGGUGUUGUAUACGAAGAUAAAAAUAUCUUUCUGCACCCAAUUCAAACCAAAGGCGGUAGUUCACAAAGUGUGUUUGUGUUUUGUGUGACUUACCUAUUUCUCUCUAUAUAUUUUCAUACACAGCAUUUAGAAUAGUUCAGGUUGGAAAGGACCUUAAAGAUCAUCUAGUCAAUAAUUUAUGCAAAUCUACUAUAACACUUACUCAGAAUAACCACUAUCUGUCAUUAAAAAGCUUUAAAUAGUACCUAGGCUUGUCAUGGAGUACUCUGAGUAGUCUGCCUGUCUUAUUAGGAACUUCAGCAAACACUUGCCUAUAAACAGACCUUACGAAAAUAAUCAAACCCAUAUAGUGUGGGUGGGAUGUACUGCCGUGUUAUCAAAUAUCUGAGUCACUCAAGCCUUUCACUGGGAAAUGACUGAGGCUCUAUGUGCAAAGGAAAAUAAUUUAACAAGAUAAAAAUAUUUUAGAGGCAAAAAGAAUUGAAACAAAACACAUGGUUGUUAGAGCCAUACCAGUAUAUUCGAAAUGAGUAAUGAAUUAUGAGAGCAAUAAGGCUAUUUGUGAAGCAAUAGAUUAUGACGAUGCAUCAGAAAAAUAUAUAGGAACAAAUUCCUUACUAAGCUCUCAUCUCAGAACCCCAGGAUAGAAACACCUUGGUCAUGGAAUUUCCUGUAAUGUUACCUGAAAUUCAAAAUUGUGAAUGUCUAACUGUGAAAAGGUCUUUUUAGAAAUAUAUUUGAAAUAAUCUUACAAUUUCUUGAAAGGUAUGCCCAGAGCAGGUGCCACAAGCCAACUUCAUGAGUGAAGAAUCAGAGGCAGCUUAGACUCCUCUUGGGGGAAGGGAGAGGAGGCAUGAAAGGAGAUUUCUUACAUAAGAUCUGGUUACUUCCCAGUCUCUGGGUGUAAGGAUUGGAUAUUGAGCUAAAUAUCUGGUAUUUAGAAACCAGUUAUUGCAUGCCAAAAGACGACAUAUAAAAAUAUAGACGUAUCUUAAUAUAGGAAAGCCUUGCUCAGAUAGAAUGUAGACAGUCUUGGACAAUGGAGAGUGUCAUUUUGUAGAUGACCAGAAUAGGAAAUUCAGAUUUUUAUUUUACACUUAAUGGAAAAAAUUGGGUCAUUUCUGGAGUUGCCAGAGUAAUAACAAAGGAAGCAGGCUCUUCUCACUUCUGCAGGAUGUUCAUUUUCCUGUUAGGUUC